rnacentral:rRNA from 1 species
GACGAACGCUGGCGGCGUGCUUAACACAUGCAAGUCGAACGGAAAGGCCCUGCUUUUGUGGGGUGCUCGAGUGGCGAACGGGUGAGUAACACGUGAGUAACCUGCCCUUGACUUUGGGAUAACUUCAGGAAACUGGGGCUAAUACCGGAUAGGAGCUCCUGCUGCAUGGUGGGGGUUGGAAAGUUUCGGCGGUUGGGGAUGGACUCGCGGCUUAUCAGCUUGUUGGUGGGGUAGUGGCUUACCAAGGCUUUGACGGGUAGCCGGCCUGAGAGGGUGACCGGCCCCAUUGGGACUGAGGUACGGACCAGACUCCAACGGGAGGCAGCAGUGGAGAAUAUUGCACAGUGGGCGGAAGCCUGAUACAGCAACGCCGCGUGCGGGAUAACGGCCUUCGAGUUGUGAACCGCUUUCGCCUGUGACGAAGCGUGAGUGACGGUAAUGGAUAAAGAAGCACCGGCUAACUACGUG